rnacentral:lncRNA from 1 species
UCCGACUGUGUUCUAUAUGCUUCGUGGUCUUGGAUGAAGUCUGUUUCGAGGUAUUUGGGGGUGAUUUCUGAGACCUCAUGGUCGAUGAAGAUUUCAACCUAUCGGAGACUUUUCUGAGUCUUUCAUCGUGAUAUCGGAGUGUAUUUUCUUCUCCUGAACAUUCUGGAAGAUUUUAUGAUGAUUUUUGGUUGAUUUUGGGUGACCUAUCNNNN